UGCACGACCUUGGGCGGUCCCUUCUCUUCUU
rnacentral:piRNA from 1 species